AUCCAGAUUACUAGUCCCAAAUGGGACGAAACGCGCGUCAUGGAU
rfam:Schistosoma margrebowiei strain Zambia genome assembly, scaffold: SMRZ_contig0003050